rnacentral:misc_RNA from 1 species
GAGAAGGUAACAUCCAAACACACAGCUCAGCUGAUAGCCAGCGUUAUAUGCUACAAGAAAUCGGAAAAGCUCACUGGGAACUCUGUAAGCUGGCUAAUAACAUAAACAUCGUAUUCGGAGUACAAAACCUGCUGUUUAUGGUAAUAUCGGUUAUUGUGACAACGGGAUUGCUGUAUACCAUUUACGUUGCAUACAUGUUGGAAGAUGAGAUGUUUAACAAUCUUACAGCAAUAAUCCAGCCGCUUGCAUGGACGACCAUUUACAUUUACAAAAUUUGGGUGAUUAACCACUCGUGCGGGCGCGCCAGCGACGAGGCUCAAAGAACUGGAGAAGUUAUUUAUGGUCUCAUGAAACCAUGUGCACAAGAUCAGGAACUUCAAACGAAGAUUCAAGAGUUUUCAGUGCAGAUACUUCAGAAUCCCGUACAGUUUGAUGUCUGCGGAUUCUUCAUUAUGAAUUACACAUUUAUCCAAGCUGUGAUCGGAUAUAUAACAACCUAUCUGAUAAUCCUCAUUCAGAUGACGGAGGAACCAAAGAUCCAGGCCUCGAAUCAUUCUGCUAUUACACCGGAAGUUGAGCAGAAGAAUAAAGUACAAUGAAAGUCAUGGUGAAGAACAGAUUAGCAGACUUGGAUUGCGAAAAAGAAAUGGUGAAUUGAAGUACCGAAAGCAUUUAGAUUUCAUA